AUAACAUUCCGAAAGGAGUGCUAAUACCGUAUAAGACCACGACCUCGAAAGAGGAUGCGGUCAAAGCUGGCCUCUAUACAUAAGCUAGCACUUGAGGAUGAGCCCGCGGCGCAUCAGCUAGUUGGUGGGGUAAUGGCCCACCAAGGCUAAGACGCGUAGCUGGUCUGAGAGGAUGAUCAGCCACACUGGAACUGAGACACGGUCCAG
rnacentral:rRNA from 1 species